rnacentral:rRNA from 1 species
CUCGUAGCAUAUAGCUCAGUAACACGUGGCCAAACUACCCUACAGACCGCAAUAACCUCGGGAAACUGAGGCCAAUAGCGGAUAUAACUCUCAUGCUGGAGUGCCGAGAGUUGGAAACGUUCCGGCGCUGUAGGAUGUGGCUGCGGCCGAUUAGGUAGAUGGUGGGGUAACGGCCCACCAUGCCGAUAAUCGGUACAGGUUGUGAGAGCAAGAGCCUGGAGACGGUAUCUGAGACAAGAUACCGGGCCCUACGGGGCGCAGCAGGCGCGAAACCUUUACACUGCACGACAGUGCGAUAGGGGGACUCCGAGUGCGAGGGCAUAUAGCCCUCGCUUUUCUGUACCGUAAGGUGGUACAAGAAUAAGGACUGGGCAAGACCGGUGCCAGCCGCCGCGGUAAUACCGGCAGUCCAAGUGAUGGCCGAUAUUAUUGGGCCUAAAGCGUCCGUAGCUUGCUGUGUAAGUCCGUUGGGAAAUCGACCAGCUCAACUGGUCGACGUCCGGCGGAAACUGCACGGCUUGGGGCCGAAAGACUCGACGGGUACGUCCGGGGUAGGAGUGAAAUCCUAUAAUCCUGGACGGACCACCAAUGGGGAAACCACGUUGAGAGAACGGACCCGACAGUGAGGGACGAAAGCCAGGGUCUCGAACCGGAUUAGAUACCCGGGUAGUCCUGGCCGUAAACAAUGCUCGCUAGGUAUGUCGCACGCCAUGAGCACGUGAUGUGCCGUAGUGAAGACGAUAAGCGAGCCGCCUGGGAAGUACGUCCGCAAGGAUGAAACUUAAAGGAAUUGGCGGGGGAGCACCACAACCGGAGGAGCCUGCGGUUUAAUUGGACUCAACGCCGGACAUCUCACCGGUCCCGACAGUAGUAAUGACGGUCAGGUUGACGACUUUACUCGACGCUACUGAGAGGAGGUGCAUGGCCGCCGUCAGCUCGUACCGUGAGGGGUCCUGUUAAGUCAGGCAACG